UACGUAGGGAGCAAGCGUUGUCCGGAAUCAUUGGGCGUAAAGCGCGCGUAGGUGGCUUCGUAAGUCCGUUGUGAAAGUCAAAGGCUCAACCUUUGAAAGCCGAUGGAUACUGCGGAGCUAGAGUACGGAAGAGGCGAGUGGAAUUCCUGGUGUAGCGGUGGAAUGCGCAGAUAUCAGGAGGAACACCAAUAGCGAAGGCAGCUCGCUGGGACGUUACUGACACUGAUGCGCGAAAGCCAGGGGAGCGAACGGG
rnacentral:rRNA from 1 species